rnacentral:rRNA from 1 species
UACGUAGGGGGCGAGCGUUGUCCGGAUUUACUGGGCGUAAAGCGCGCGUAGGCGGGAGGUUAAGUUGGGGGUGAAAGCCCGGGGCUCAACCCCGGGAUGCCGCCCAAGACUGGUCUCCUUGAGGACGGAAGAGGGGAGUGGAAUUCCUGGUGUAGCGGUGAAAUGCGUAGAGAUCAGGAGGAACACCCGUGGCGAAGGCGGCUCCCUGGUCCGUUUCUGACGCUGAGACGCGAAAGCGCGGGGAGCGAACGGG